UACGUAGGGUGCAGGCGUUAAUCGGAAUUACUGGGCGUAAAGCGUGCGCAGGCGGUUUGCUAAGACAGGUGUGAAAGCCCCGGGCUUAACCUGGGAAUGGCCAUGGAAACUGGCGAACUGGAGUGUGGCAGAGGGGGGUGGAAUUCCGCGUGUAGCAGUGAAAUGCGUAGAGAUGCGGAGGAACACCGAUGGCGAAGGCAGCCCCCUGGGCUAGCACUGACGCUCAGGCACGAAAGCGUGGGGAGCAAACAGG
rnacentral:rRNA from 1 species